rnacentral:rRNA from 1 species
CGCCUGUUUAUCAAAAACAUUUCUAUAUCUUAGUUUUUAUAGUAGUGCCUGCUCUAUGUUAAUAUAAAUGGCCGCAGUAUCUUGACUGUGCGAAGGUAGCAUAAUUAAUUGCCUUAUAAUUGAAGGCUUGUUUGAAUGGUUUGACAAGGUAAAUACCAACAUCUUGUAUUUAGUUGAAAUUGAUUAAGAGGGCACAGAAUCCUCUAUCAUUAAUUAGACGGAAAGACCCCGGGAUCUUUCUUUUUUGUCUGGGGCAGAUAAAGGUUUUUUACUUGCUUUAAGACCCUUAUUAAAGUUUGGUGGGUUAAGUUACCCCGGGGAUAACAGUGUAAUAGUCUACAAGAGGCCAUAUCGAAUAGACUGUUUGCUACCUCGAUGUUGACUUAGGUAAAUAAUGUAAGCGCAGUAGUUUAUUUUUAAGGUCUGUUCGACCUCUAUUACCUCCAUGAUCUGAGUUCAGACCGGAG